UGAGGAAUAUUGGUCAAUGGACGGAAGUCUGAACCAGCCAAGUAGCGUACAGGAUGACGGCCCUAUGGGUUGUAAACUGCUUUUGUAUGGGGAUAAAGUUAGGGACGUGUCCCUAUUUGCAGGUACCAUACGAAUAAGGACCGGCUAAUUCCGUGCCAGCAGCCGCGGUAAUACGGAAGGUCCAGGCGUUAUCCGGAUUUAUUGGGUUUAAAGGGAGCGUAGGCUGGAGAUUAAGUGUGUUGUGAAAUGUAGACGCUCAACGUCUGAAUUGCAGCGCAUACUGGUUUCCUUGAGUACGCACAACGUUGGCGGAAUUCGUCGUGUAGCGGUGAAAUGCUUAGAUAUGACGAAGAACUCCGAUUGCGAAGGCAGCUGACGGGAGCGCAACUGACGCUUAAGCUCGAAGGUGCGGGUAUCAAACAGGAUUAGAUACCCUGGUAGUCCGCACAGUAAACGAUGGAUGCCCGCUGUUGGUACCUGGUAUCAACGGCUAAGCGAAAGCAUUAAGCAUCCCACCUGGGGAGUACGCCGGCGGU
rnacentral:rRNA from 1 species